ACAAUCUUUUAUUCAAACACACCAUCUUCAGUUUUAUGACUGAGAAAAUAACAUGUAUAGUUGAGGGGGAAGAUCACCGAGGAAACUCGGAUAAACAAAACAGUCCCUGCCCCCAACGUAACAUCAAACAGAUUGUGCCUCUUUAGUGCUGACACAUGGCUGCUGACAUGGCAACAGAUGGCCUUCUGUAUACCCACCCUCCCUCACAUGGUGAAGUCUGAAGAUGUAAAGGGGUGCACUUUAAGGCUGUUGUCAUGCCAAGCCGUCUGUGAAGAGCAGUGGCAAAAACGUGUUGAAAGUUGCAACCUGUCGAGACCUCAAACCUCAGCCGCGUCAGCUAUGCUGAGUCAAACAACAUCAUUUCAGAAAGUAGAAAGAUCAAGGUGAGAGGAAAAUUGCGCCUGAUGGUGCCGUUUUGAAGAUGAU